rnacentral:tRNA from 1 species
GGCUCGUUAGUUUAACGGUAAAAUACAUGACUGUCUAUCAUGGGUCACGGGUUCAACUCCCGUACGGGUCGCCAAUU